CAUACACACACGCUGGACGGAUAAAAAUAGACGCCAUUUAUGUGUUGAGAAGCCGCUUGAAAAGCUAUGUGCUACGCGUCCAACUUGUUAAACUAUAUGUGCCGCUUGUUUUUAUUACUUUUAACGCUGUCAGUCAUUUUUUUAACAAUCUGCACAGUUUAGUGUAUCAAAAUUUGCAAACGCGCACCGAAAGCCUCGCACGGAUUUCACUGCUCUCCUCCACUUGAAUUCAUAACAGAGGUUUUUUUCCCUCUUCUAUCGCGGUACACAUCUCAACCCUGCUCUCAAAGGAGCGACACCGACAAAAUCCCUUAAUUCAACACACAGUGAAGUCUUAUCGCCUGUUAUGCGCUGCGUCACCGGCUUUAGACAGGGGCAAAGUAUGGCACCAUAUCUGAACUUGCAUGAAUGAAAGUGACGGCAUAAAGCACUCAGUCAGCAGGCGACUCACUCAGCCUCCGGUGUCUGUCUCGCCUGUGUGGCGCUCUCCUGCAUCCCUCAGUAAGCAUCACUCUCUGUGGAGCCGGUGCGAGGCAUCCUCCCUUACAAACACCGGUCCUGGACAUCCUAGACAGCCCGUCCUGCGACAUAUUUUUACUUUGGACCCGUUGAUGUCACUUCCUGCUUGGGCAACUGCCUGUGCAAAUAAACCCAGGGAUGUGAAGGGGUGCUCGGGGAGCCAUUUUUUGAGGUCACGCAGCAGACAAGUUCACAAGGUCAUGCAGUAGCGACAUCUCCCAAAGCCGACAACAAGCUCGUUACUCUUAAAAUGACAACUAUCAUCCCAUCUGGCUCAUUCCAACUGUGCCCUAUAGUUUUAUAUAACCAGCUACAUCCACAUCAUCCUACCCCCCUGUGAUGCGCCGGCAAGGUUCAUUUCCUGGUACGCUGUGCGCAUUUACGGCCACGAUUAUGCAAUGAAGGCGGCAUCAUCACUUUUUGACAAAUGCUAUACAACGCAGCUGGAAAAGGAAUUCAAGGGGUUGAGCGAAGUUCAGAGUAACAGCGUGGUGCCUAAAGCUCACAACCUGUCCCCAGCCUCGUGCCGAGAACCUGAGAUCCAAACAUUCAGCUGAGAAAAUUCUUGAGACCAGGUCCUGUAUGUGUCAACAAAACAGCCCCUGCUGCCACUAUCCAGACUGAGAGACGGGAGCAAAGAGGAGCAAACGACAGCAGAUCCAACAGCCUGAGCAGUUAUUCUGAGCCUUGGAGGUCAGCACUGAAUUCUGGCCUGCUGUAAGACCAGACCAAGAUGAAGUGAGAAGGCCCCUCUCUUCAACAGGGAGUGGCAGCGCAACGUGGAAAGGCUUAACACAGACACACACUAACACACACACACCUCAUGUCUGUUUAUUCACAUCGGCAAAGCACGUGCAGACACAUGUGCGUGUGCGCACACACACACACACGCACACAAUCUGCCUCACCCUCACAUAGACAUACGCAUACAAAAGCACACCUGUCAGGGCCUUUCCACUGUGUGAGCAAAAGCAAAGAAGUCCGGCCCCCCCUCCGUCUCUCUGUAUGUGGUAUCCCAUGUCUGUUAUAUUAAAGCAAAUCUAUUCAGUUCCCACUUUCUUAUCUGAAAUAAUGGCAUGAGCAAUUUUCACAUUUAAGUAAGCAAGGACACAUGCAGUCUCUCUCUCUUCCACUCUCUCACUUAAUGAAUGGAAUCAGAUCUGGGCCCCUGUGGCUGCGGUCUAAUCUGCCUUUGAAGAUUUCUACAAUUUACAGAAAUAAAUAAUUACA